GGGACCUCAUCGUGGGGGUCGGGGAACUCGCCCAAAAUGUCACAUGAAAGAAGAAGAAAGAAGCUCCAUCACAGAGAACAUUUGGACACCACUACAGCAUCUGCAGCACAGGGUCGGUUCCAACUGAGAGCCCAAACUGGAUUAGAUUUACCUAUGGACCACUGUCAGGUUUUCGGUCAUGCCGGAUUUAUCAAAGAAACAGGCUGGAUCGACGCCACGCCCACUCUCAGCUCUCUUAAAAGGCCCCCUUGUUCUCCUUUUCUAACCCCUCUACUGUACUUACACACAGUGUGUUUGAGCCUCAGCACCACCUAGGAUAACCACACCUACACGUAUCAGCAGGGACAGAGAAUCUCAACUUGCGACGUUUCACAUUAACCCCCAUCCCACCGCCCCCAUCUCUCUCUCCUCCCUCGCCCUCUGAACCAGUAAACAACGUCAUAGCAGGCAUCCAAAGAUGUGUUGAUAUCAUUCCUUAAAAAUAGCUAUCGAGACGGCCCCCUCUGCUAUUGCUCAGAAUGUUUUAAAAGCGCAAAGAGCCGCCCGCGUACAGAGGCACGUGCGUGAGACGCGACCACGUAGUUGUGUUUACUACGGCGCGGGACCUUUGAUUCUUCCCUGCCGAGCCACAGAGCCUCAGCCUCCAUAUGCACCAUGCCACCAGCCUCCUUCCUUUCACUCACCCCCCCCCCCCCCCCCCCCGCUCCCGUUGUUCACAGCAGGCAGCUGGGGAGAGGGAGGGAAUAGCACCGGACAACAGACCUGUCCAGUCUCACUCAUCCCAUCUGUGUGUUCUUAGGUUCCCCCGUGACCACGGCAACAGCGAUCCACCAGUCGCGGAUGACGGCACGAGAGCUUUAAGCCAGAAACCAAAGCAACAAAACACCACACGUUUAAAACAGCAAAAUGUUGGCUCAGAUAAACAAACUGCAGUUGUAUGAAAAAUAACCACCGGCUAGAGAAAGCAUCAGACGUGCCACGUUAAAAUAGAUCCUGUCGCUAGUGGCAACAGUGCAGAGACACAGUAGAUCCAGAUGACACUGCUGUCACUGUGAACAUGAUAGACAUCACAGUGUCUUCAAGGCCAUUACUAGACAAAGCAACUCUGGGUUUUCUUGUCAAACGGGUUCAAAUCAUUGCAGUUGAAAUUUUUCUCAUGUAUUCCCUCCCUGCAAAGGGGUAAAUUUAAUAAGUAUUCUUCGUUGUAGACGUUUCAAAGAUGCAACUUUUUUUCCUGACUGCGACAGACUCUUUUAUUAUUUUUUCUCUGCCAUUAUUAUUCUUGUUUUUAAGUCUUUACUGGAAAGCCUUUAAGUCUCUGACAGAGGCCUUUUUGCAGAAACUGUUCCCUGUGGUGGUGCAAAUGUGUGAUCAGGUUUAUCAUUAUUAUACACAAAUGUCUAUUGCUGUACAUAUGUGUUUCUAAUUCAAAUGGGCUCCUGCAGUUGAGUUUGACCCCGUAAACAAGGCACUGAAGCUUUGAGCAGACCUCUGUGCCUAGUACUAGUGACCCAGAUCAUGUGAAUACACUUCUCUCGUUUUGAGGUCUGUGAUGCCAGUUAUUCUUUGUUAUGCCCCCCCCCCGGUAACAACGGGAAAACAAGUGAACUUCUUGAUCCAAACCCUGAACAGAAACAACCCACUUUUUCUAAAGUGCAAAAAAAGAGACAUAUAACUUCAACCCUCGACUUGUUAAUCUCUGUGUGUGUGCGCUGAUUGUAUUUUAAACGUGUAUGAUGUUACAGUAAAGAAAAUAAUACAUAUCUGUAUUAGGGAAAAAAUAAAGGCUUGAUCUGGUGUACUAAUGUUGCACUAACGCUAGCUUAGUGACUGCAGCCGGGCAGCACCAUAGAGCCCGGAUCCUGUGUCCUGCACCAACAUGACGCUCAGCCUGCUUCAAUGCACAGCCGGGGGCGCACUGCUGAUUCAGGAUCUGUCUCUCCAGUGAGACUGUGCGAACACACACGCACACACAAACGACCCUUGACUACUUGAAUCAACUCCCGUCACGGCGGCGUCAGGAAGAAGAAAACUUUUAGAAAAGACGCAGAGAGAUGCAGGUCUGACAGCGACGUGCCUGAUAAAAAGUUGCCCCACAACGGAACCUAAUCAAUGUCAUGUUGUUAAUUAGAGAAUGGAGAGAAGAAAAAAAAAACGUUGUAGCUAGCAUUACUGAUGGAAAGCGGUUUGACUUUAAUUUCUGUCUCGUCCUGUGUGUUUGUCAUUAAAAUGCUUACACGAUUAAAGUGGUCUUAGCGGUCAGGCCAACCCGAAUACAACAGUGUUUUUUGUCCCCUCGCUAAUCUGUGUGAGUCCAUCGUGAGAACUUGUAGUUCUUUGCAUGCUCUGUGUGAUGUUGUGUUGUUUUGUUUCAUUGUACGUGAAACUAAAAAUGCAGUUAGUACCUGAAAGAGAAAGGUACUGGAAUAAAAAUGCUUGAUUGUGUGUCAAAGUUCA